AGUGAACGCUGGCGGCGUGCUUAACACAUGCAAGUCGAACGAGAACGGAAUAUAGCUUGCUAUAUUUGUCAGCUAAGUGGCGCACGGGUGAGUAAUGUAUAGAUAACCUGCCCUUAAGAAAGGAAUAACAGUUGGAAACGACUGCUAAUGCCCUAUAUGCCUUUAAUACAUAAGUAUGCAAGGGAAACGCUUUAGUGCUUAAGGAUGGGUCUGUAUGGUAUCAGCUUGUUGGUGAGGUAAUGGCUCACCAAGGCUAUGACGCCUAACUGGUUUGAGAGGAUGAUCAGGCACACUGGAACUGAGACACGGUCCAGACUCCUACGGGAGGCAGCAGUGGGGAAUAUUGCACAAUGGACGAAAGUCUGAUGCAGCAACGCCGCGUGGAGGAUGACACAUUUCGGUGCGUAAACUCCUUUUAUAUAGGAAGAUAAUGACGGUACUAUAUGAAUAAGCACCGGCUAACUCCGUGCCAGCAGCCGCGGUAACAC
rnacentral:rRNA from 1 species